rnacentral:rRNA from 1 species
GACGAACGCUGGCGGCGUGCUUAACACAUGCAAGUCGAACGGAAAGGCCCUGCUUUUGUGGGGUGCUCGAGUGGCGAACGGGUGAGUAACACGUGAGUAACCUGCCCUUGACUUUGGGAUAACUUCAGGAAACUGGGGCUAAUACCGGAUAGGAGCUCCUGCUGCAUGGUGGGGGUUGGAAAGUUUAGGCGGUUGGGGAUGGACUCGCGGCUUAUCAGCUUGUUGGUUGGGUAGUGGCUUACCAAGGCUUUGACGGGUAGCCGGCCUGAGAGGGUGACCGGACACAUUGGGACUGGGAUGCGACCCAGACUACUACGGGAGGCAGCGGUGGGGAAUAUUGCACAAUGGGCGGAAGCCUGAUGCAGCAACGCCGCGUGCGGGAUGACGGCCUUCGGGUAGUAAACCGCUUUCGCCUGUGACGAAGCGUGAGUGACGGUAAUGGGUAAAGAAGCACCGGCUAACUACGUG